AACUUUGCGCAGUGGCAGUAUCGUAGCCGAUGAGGUUUAUCCGAGGCGCGAUUAUUGCUUAUGAGAACAAUAUUCUCACAGGGCUUGACAGAGGUGUCUUUCUGUUUGGUGUCCAUUCUAGAUGGUAAUGAGAUGGAAUUUCUUCAUCUAGUUUUAGUUU